UGCACUGUAUGGUAUCUGCACUCCAGAGUCUUGUUCUGUUGGGUGUUCAUUUCACAGUGCUAUAGAAAUUCAGCAUCUGGCAUCGUUGGUUUUCUUGCUUCUUGUGCUCGACAACCUGGUAUAUCUGCUGGUACAGAC